CUAGGCUAUUUUAUACUAACUAACUAGUAUUUUGAUUUACUUUGCCUGACUGUGGACAACUGAUAGGUCAGGCGGUCUCAUGGCGUUUGUGUGUGAGGGACAGGUAUAUUGUUCCCAGAUCCAGUUUUGAAAAUAAGGACAGUUAUACACAGAUACAAAAGGCUAGGUUAUUUUUCAUUGAAUGCAAUGAAAUUUGUCAAGUAGCACAUAAUAUGAAAUUUUGUGUGGCCGUCAAGGCGACACAUGUGGUGGUUAUGGAGAUUAAAUGUCCCCAUUCUGGAAAAAAGGAAGGAAAGAAAUUGAUUGCCGAAUAUCCAAAAAAUACAUUGUCUAAUAUACAUUUCAUUGUUGGUAGCAGUACCUGCGUGAGCAAUUUGUUGGAGAUAUCCGUCAGCCAUCCAUCC
rnacentral:sRNA from 2 species